rnacentral:rRNA from 1 species
GGGGAAUUUUGGACAAUGGGCGCAAGCCUGAUCCAGCAAUGCCGCGUGCAGGAUGAAGGCCUUCGGGUUGUAAACUGCUUUUGUACGGAACGAAACGGCUCUGUCUAAUACAUGGGGCUAAUGACGGUACCGUAAGAAUAAGCACCGGCUAACUACGUGCCAGCAGCCGCGGUAAUACGUAGGGUGCAAGCGUUAAUCGGAAUUACUGGGCGUAAAGCGUGCGCAGGCGGUGAUGUAAGACAGGUGUGAAAUCCCCGGGCUUAACCUGGGAAUUGCAUUUGUGACUGCAUCGCUGGAGUGCGGCAGAGGGGGAUGGAAUUCCGCGUGUAGCAGUGAAAUGCGUAGAUAUGCGGAGGAACACCGAUGGCGAAGGCAAUCCCCUGGGCCUGCACUGACGCUCAUGCACGAAAGCGUGGGGAGCAAAC